rnacentral:rRNA from 1 species
UACAGAGGUCGCAAGCGUUGUUCGGAUUCACUGGGCGUAAAGGGUGCGUAGGCGGUCGGGUAAGUCUGAUGUGAAAUCUCCAAGCCUAACUUGGAAACUGCAUUGGAUACUAUCCGGCUCGAGGAAUGGAGGGGAGACUGGAAUACUUGGUGUAGCAGUGAAAUGCGUAGAUAUCAAGUGGAACACCAGUGGCGAAGGCGAGUCUCUGGACAUUUCCUGACGCUGAGGCACGAAAGCCAGGGGAGCAAACGGG